AAUAAAUGAAUUAGUCCCACCAAAGGAAGAAAGGUGGUGUCACAUGAUUUAUUUGGAGCAGAGCUGACAUGGAUUCUGACUGCCUGGGACCCCUGCGACUGCGUUCGCUUCUCACUGAAGGGUUUUAUCUGCUCCUGGUGGGGCAAAGUCAUGACCCAGAAAAAAAUUGAUUCAUGAAUUCUCAGGGCGCAAGUAAAGAAGAGAAGAAAUAUGCCUUGGCUGAGCUCCGACU
rnacentral:lncRNA from 1 species